AUUGAGGUCGGUCCUGAUUAGUCUUCUCUGUAGACAGUAUCACGGGAAACGCCUCAAAAAGCAAAUCUGUAGCCUCGCUUUACCCAUACGGUCACCAUUUCUUGAUCUUGUGGGAUAAUGCUGCAGUACAGAC